AACUGAUAUUUUGUACUAACUGGAAUAACCUUCUGCUUUCCGCCUUUCAACGGGGAUCCCCUAAUGACAUUUCCCGGAACUACUAUAGCUGACUGAUAACCGAUGAUCAUAGGCGUUGAGAUGAUGAUCGGUUUGCUGGCGAAAUUUCUGCCGUGCGGUUCUUAUCAUCCCGACCAGCUGAUAAGACAAGAGAACGAGAGCGAGGAGAGCGGCGAGAGUUGAGCCAGGGCAUUGCGUCAAGUGCGCUAAUCGCUGGAUCCAAAUCGGAACCAGGGCUACAGCUACAGAGCCACCAGCAACAACAAUUGCCGUUAACAAUUGUCGGAGCGACAGCACACUGCUGCGCAAAUUGCACGUCGCGCAGUGUACGAGGCAACAAAAACAACACAGCACAGCAGCUAUCAAGGCGUACGUACAUUUGUAGGUACGUUCACCAAGCCGCUUGGUAAACACAAAAUUACAGCAACAAAAAAUACUAUGGAAAAAACUGUCGGUAUAUAUAUGUAUAUGUAUAUACCGAAAUAUACAGACAGCCCCAACCAACAAAGACUCCAUUCCGCACACACAUAUACAUAUAUAUGUACAUCCACAUCCAAUGUUGCUGACUCGACUCACCGCAUACAUACUGACGCGCCUAUAUAUGUAAGAGCGAGAGAGCAGAGCCGAACGACCGACACACGAAGUACAGUCGCACAGUUAAAAAUAAACGGGGGAGGGAGAUGGCAAGAGAGAGCAGAAGAGGCAGGCAAAGAGAACGAGCGAGGGUAAAACAACAAAGCAAAUGCUGGUAAAUAAUGAUGAUGGAACCAGUGUGCUGUAUAUGUGCUCAUGUAUGUGUAUACUGCACAGUAAAAUUUCAUGUAUUAAAAUCGUUUGUUCGUGUAUAUGCAUGUACACUGUACAGGGUAAGAGCUGCCAUCGCUGCCUCUAUGUGGUUGUUGUUGUCGCUGUUGAUAGCGAGGGACGUAAUAUCGCAACUUUUGCCGUUCCAAACGAACGUUCGUUCGUUCGUUCGUUCGAGUUUAAUUUUGUAAGCUGACGAAGAGAAUGAAUCAAAGGCGGAAAAAGAAGAAGAAUAAGGCUUUAAGCGACCGUUUUUCUAGUGCGUUUCGCUUAGAAUGGCAAAAAUCUCAAAGGGGACGUCGAAUCUCACCCCAAAACGCAUCAUAACACCCCACUUUCAGUAGUGUGGUGAGUGGUAAGUACGGCCUCGCAAGCUCGAUUUAGCGAAGGUUGCCUUUGCCGCUUUGCUGGCGUGGUGGGAUAACGGAUGUUGGAUAUUUCGUCGGAUGUCGGACAACGGUCACAGCGUAACGCGCGCAAAUUCACGUAGUUUGAAUCGGUUUCGGAUUUGGACUCGCUAGCGCAACGUCACAAAGCUAACGGAUCGAACCAAGGUUGGCCCCUGGCAUUUUCCUAUGCCAUAUUGCAUGAGGCAAUCAAAAUGAGAAGGGAGUUUUGAAGAAUUCGGAAUGCGAAGACUUAAUAGUAUUUUUCAAGCAAUAGUUUUUAAGAGGUUUAUGUAAGUAGUCAUUAUUUAUUUUUAUGAAAUAAAGAGUUAUUUAUUGAAAAUUAAGCGCAUUUAAA